rnacentral:rRNA from 1 species
GGUAAUAGCCCUAGCCUGACGGUACCUUUCGAGGAAGCCCGGCUAACUACGUGCCAGCAGCCGCGGUAAUACGUAGGGGGCGAGCGUUGUCCGGGAAUUAUUGGGCGUAAAGAGCUCGUAGGCGGUUUGUUGCGUCGGCUGUGAAAACGUGAGGCUCAACCUCAGGCCUGCAGUCGAUACGAGCAAACUAGAGUGUUGCAGGGGAGACUGGAAUUCCUGGUGUAGCGGUGAAAUGCGCAGAUAUCAGGAGGAACACCGGUGGCGAAGGCGGGUCUCUGGGCAACAACUGACGCUGAGGAGCGAAAGCGUGGGGAGCGAACAGGAUUAGAUACCCUGGUAGUCCACGCCGUAAACGUUGGGCGCUAGGUGUGGGGCUCAUUCCACGAGUUCCGUGCCGCAGCUAACGCAUUAAGCGCCCCGCCUGGGGAGUACGGCCGCAAGGCUAAAACUCAAAGGAAUUGACGGGGGCCCGCACAAGCGGCGGAGCAUGUUGCUUAAUUCGAUGCAACGCGAAGAACCUUACCUAGGCUUACAUGCACGGAAAUCUUUCAGAGAUGGAAGGUCCGUAAGGGCCGUGCACAGGUGGUGCAUGGUUGUCGUCAGCUCGUGUCGUGAGAUGUUGGGUUAAGUCCCGCAACGAGCGCAACCCUCGUUCUAUGUUGCCAGCACGUAAUGGUGGGGACUCAUAGGAGACUGCCGGGGUCAACUCGGAGGAAGGUGGGGAUGACGUCAAAUCAUCAUGCCCCUUAUGUCUAGGGCUGCAAACAUGCUACAAUGGCCGGUACAAAGGGCUGCGAUACCGUGAGGUGGAGCGAAUCCCAAAAAGCCGGUCUCAGUUCGGAUUGGGGUCUGCAACUCGACCCCAUGAAGUUGGAGUCGCUAGUAAUCGCAGAUCAGCAACGCCGCGGUGAAUACGUUCCCGGG